UGGGGAUAUUGCACAAUGGAGGAAACUCUGAUGCAGCGACGCCGCGUGAGGGAAGACGGUCUUCGGAUUGUAAACCUCUGUCUUUGGGGAAGAAAAUGACGGUA
rnacentral:rRNA from 1 species